GGGGGCUUAGCUCAGUUGGUAGAGCGCUGCCCUUGCAAGGCAGAUGUCAGCGGUUCGAGUCCGCUAGUCUCCA
rnacentral:tRNA from 2 species